rnacentral:rRNA from 1 species
UACAGAGGUCUCAAGCGUUGUUCGGAUUCAUUGGGCGUAAAGGGUGCGUAGGUGGGCAGGUAAGUCAGUGGUGAAAUCUCCAGGCUUAACUUGGAAACUGCCAUUGAUACUAUCAAUCUUGAAUACCGUGGAGGUCAGCGGAAUAUGUCAUGUAGCGGUGAAAUGCUUAGAUAUGACAUAGAACACCAAUUGCGAAGGCAGCUGGCUACACGAAUAUUGACACUGAUGCACGAAAGCGUGGGGAUCAAACAGGA